rnacentral:rRNA from 1 species
CCAAUAGCGUAUAUUAAAGUUGCUGCAGUUAAAAAGCUCGUAGUUGAAUUUCGGGAUCAAUUUACUGGUCGUGCCUACGGUACGUACUGGUUUUGUUGAUUCCUCUCUUCUGAGGAGCCGUGAUGUCAUUAACUUGGUGUCGCGGGGAAUCAGGACUAUUACUUUGAAAAAAUUAGAGUGUUUAAAGCAGGCUAACGCUUGAAUACAUUAGCAUGGAAUAAUGAAAUAGGACGUUUGAUCCUAUUUUGUUGGUUUCUAGGAUCUACGUAAUGAUUAAUAGGGAUAGUUGGGGGCAUUAGUAUUCAAUUGUCAGAGGUGAAAUUCUUGGAUUUAUUGAAGACUAACUACUGCGAAAGCAUUUGCCAAGGAUGUUUUCAUUAAUCAAGAACGAAAGUUAGGGGAUCGAAGACGAUCAGAUACCGUCGUAGUCUUAACCAUAAACUAUGCCGACUAGGGAUCGGAUGUUAAAUUUUUAAUAAAUCAUUCGGCGCCUUACG